rnacentral:rRNA from 1 species
GAUGAACGCUGGCGGCGUGCCUAAUACAUGCAAGUCGAGCGAACGGACGAGAAGCUUGCUUCUCUGAUGUUAGCGGCGGACGGGUGAGUAACACGUGGAUAACCUACCUAUAAGACUGGGAUAACUUCGGGAAACCGGAGCUAAUACCGGAUAAUCUUUUGAACCGCAUGGUUCAAAAGUGAAAGACGGUCUUGCUGUCACUUGUAGAUGGAUGCGCGCUUCAUUAGCUUGUUGGUGGGGUAGUGGCUUACCACGGCUAUGAUGGGUAGCCGGCCUGGGAGGGUGACCGGCCACAUUGGGACUGAGGUACGGACCAGACUCGUACGGGAGGCAGCAGUGGGGAAUAUUGCACAAUGGGCGGAAGCGUGAUGCAGAAGCGCCGCGUGCGGGAUGACGGCCUUCGGGUUGUAAACCGCUUUCGCCUGUGAAGAAGCGUGAGUGACGGUAAUGGGUAAGGAAGCACCGGCUAACUACGUG